rnacentral:rRNA from 1 species
CUAANUACGUGCCAGCAGCCGCGGUAAUACGUAGGGUGCGAGCGUUAAUNGGAAUUACUGGGCGUAAAGCGGGCGCAGACGGUUACUUAAGCAGGAUGUGAANUCCCCGGGCUCAACCUGGGAACUGCGUUCUGAACUGGGUGACUAGAGUGUGUCAGAGGGAGGUAGAAUUNCACGUGUAGCAGUGAAAUGCGUAGAGAUGUGGAGGAAUACCGAUGGCGAAGGCAGCCUCCUGGGAUAACACUGACGUUCAUGCCCGAAAGCGUGGGUAGCAAACAGGAUUAGAUACCCUGGUAGUCCACGCCCUAAACGAUGUCGAUUAGCUGUUGGGCAGCAUGACUGCUUAGUAGCGAAGCUAACGCGUGAAAUCGACCGCCUGGGGAGUACGGUCGCAAGAUUAAAACUCAAAGGAAUUGACGGGGACCCGCACAAGCGGUGGAUGAUGUGGAUUAAUUCGAUGCAACGCGAAGAACCUUACCUGGUCUUGACAUGUACGGAACCCUCCAGAGACGGAGGGGUGCCUUCGGGAGCCGUAACACAGGUGCUGCAUGGCUGUCGUCAGCUCGUGUCGUGAGAUGUUGGGUUAAGUCCCGCAACGAGCGCAACCCUUGUCAUUAGUUGCCAUCAUUAAGUUGGGCACUCUAAUGAGACUGCCGGUGACAAGCCGGAGGAAGGUGGGGAUGACGUCAAGUCCUCAUGGCCCUUAUGACCAGGGCUUCACACGUCAUACAAUGGUCGGUACAGAGGGUAGCCAAGCCGCGAGGUGGAGCCAAUCUCACAAAACCGAUCGUAGUCCGGAUUGCACUCUGCAACUCGAGUGCAUGAAGUCGGAAUCGCUAGUAAUCGCAGGUCAGCAUACUGCGGUGAAUACGUUCCCGGGUCUUGUACACACCGCCCGUCACACCAUGGGAGUGGGGGAUACCAGAAGUNGGUAGGG